ACGCUGGCGGCAGGCCUAACACAUGCAAGUCGAGCGGAAACGAGUUAUCUGAACCUUCGGGGAACGAUAACGGCGUCGAGCGGCGGACGGGUGAGUAAUGCCUAGGAAAUUGCCCUGAUGUGGGGGAUAACCAUUGGAAACGAUGGCUAAUACCGCAUGAUGCCUACGGGCCAAAGAGGGGGACCUUCGGGCCUCUCGCGUCAGGAUAUGCCUAGGUGGGAUUAGCUAGUUGGUGAGGUAAGGGCUCACCAAGGCGACGAUCCCUAGCUGGUCUGAGAGGAUGAUCAGCCACACUGGAACUGAGACACGGUCCAGACUCCUACGGGAGGCAGCAGUGGGGAAUAUUGCACAAUGGGCGCAAGCCUGAUGCAGCCAUGCCGCGUGUAUGAAGAAGGCCUUCGGGUUGUAAAGUACUUUCAGUCGUGAGGAAGGCGGYRUCGUUAAUAGCGGMRUYGUUUGACGUUAGCGACAGAAGAAGCACCGGCUAACUCCGUGCCAGCAGCCGCGGUAAUACGGAGGGUGCGAGCGUUAAUCGGAAUUACUGGGCGUAAAGCGCAUGCAGGUGGUUUGUUAAGUCAGAUGUGAAAGCCCGGGGCUCAACCUCGGAAUAGCAUUUGAAACUGGCAGACUAGAGUACUGUAGAGGGGGGUAGAAUUUCAGGUGUAGCGGUGAAAUGCGUAGAGAUCUGAAGGAAUACCGGUGGCGAAGGCGGCCCCCUGGACA
rnacentral:rRNA from 1 species